rnacentral:rRNA from 1 species
CCUACGGGAGGCAGCAGUGGGGAAUAUUGGGCAAUGGGCGAAAGCCUGACCCAGCAACGCCGCGUGAAGGAUGAAGGCCCUCGGGUUGGAAACUUCCUUUGAUAGGGAAGAGCAGAAGACGGUGCCUGUCGAAUAAGCUACGGCUAACUACGUGCCAGCAGCCGCGGUAAUACGUAGGUCGCCAGCGUUGUCCGGAUUUACUGGGUUUAAAGGGUGUGUAGCCGGGCUGACAAGUCAGAUGUGAAAUCCGGGGGCUCAACCCCCGAAAUGCAAUUGAAACUGUCGGCUUUGAGUAUCGGAGAGGCAGGCGGAAUUCCGGGUGUAGCGGUGAAAUGCGUAGAUAUUAGGAGGAACACCAGUGGCGAAGGCGGCCUGCUGGACGACAACUGACGGUGAGGCGCGAAAGCGUGGGGAGCAAACAGGAUUAGAUACCCUUGUAGUC